AUACAGGGGGUCCAAGCGUUGUUCGGAAUCACUGGGCGUAAAGCGCGUGUAGGCGGCUGUAUAAGUCGAAUGUGAAAUCCCUCAGCUCAACUGAGGACAUGCAUUCGAAACUGUAUAGCUAGAGUAUCGGAGGGGGUGGUGGAAUUCCUAGUGUAGAGGUGAAAUUCGUAGAUAUUAGGAGGAACACCUGUGGCGAAGGCGACCACCUGGACGAUAACUGACGCUGAGACGCGAAAGCGUGGGUAGCAAACAGGAUUAGAAACCCUAGUAGUCC
rnacentral:rRNA from 1 species